CAAGAGCAGAAGGAUCUGCAAAGAGAGAAUAUAACUGGGAGCAAUUCCUGAGCUGCAUUCAGAGACAGAAACAGAGUUGCCAGGCCCAGAACUCUGGCAAUUACUCAGUGGAAAUGGAAACAGCAACACAGACGCCAAAGUCUUUUCCCCAGGAUAUGCAUAAUUUAAAUCUAACUGCAAAGGAAUUGCUGGACUUGAAGCCUGUUACAAAUAUCCACGUGCUUGUUUCAUCUAAGAACCUCAGGGGGAAAGGACACUUUGAUAACAGAAGGGUCUUUAAUAUAAAAAGCAAUAAAAUUCAUGGAUUUUGAAGCUGGACAUUUUCAGGAUGGAAAUGUCACUCUUCCCAGCGAACAGGACUAAUUACAGCAGCUCAUGGAAUAAUACUGUGAAUUGUCUACCAAGCAAAUGCUUCCUUUACAAUCUGAUAAUCCUACUGACAAAAAUUCAAUGGCUCUCCCGUCGAUGAUAUGAUUUGUUCCGAGCAGGCCACGAAGGGAGAGCAGGGUCAGCUUUGUGCCCGUCCCGAGGAUCCCUCGGGCCUGGGGCCUGUGUGG